UACGUAGGGGGCAAGCGUUGUCCGGAAUCAUUGGGCGUAAAGCGCGUGUAGGCGGCCCGGUAAGUCCGCUGUGAAAGUCGGGGGCUCAACCCUCGGAUGCCGGUGGAUACUGUCGGGCUAGAGUGCGGAAGAGGCGAGUGGAAUUCCUGGUGUAGCGGUGAAAUGCGUAGAUAUCGGGAGGAACACCGGUGGCGAAGGCGGCCAACUGGACCAUUACUGACGCUGAGGCGCGAAAGCGUGGGGAGCAAACAGG
rnacentral:rRNA from 1 species